rnacentral:rRNA from 1 species
UACGUAGGGUGCAAGCGUUGUCCGGAAUUAUUGGGCGUAAAGAGCUCGUAGGCGGUCUGUCGCGUCGGCUGUGAAAACUUGGGGCUCAACCCCAAGCCUGCAGUCGAUACGGGCAGACUAGAGUCCGGCAGGGGAGACUGGAAUUCCUGGUGUAGCGGUGAAAUGCGCAGAUAUCGGGAGGAACACCAGUGGCGAAGGCGACUUCCUGGCCUGUUCUUGACGCUGAGGCGCGAAAGCUAGGGGAGCAAACGGG